rnacentral:rRNA from 1 species
GCCCGUGGGGCCCGCUAUACAUGCAGUCGAGCGGACAGAAGGGAGCUUGCUCCCGGAUGUUAGCGGCGGACGGGUGAGUAACACGUGGGUAACCUGCCUGUAAGACUGGGAUAACUCCGGGAAACCGGAGCUAAUACCGGAUAGUUCCUUGAACCGCAUGGUUCAAGGAUGAAAGACGGUUUCGGCUGUCACUUACAGAUGGACCCGCGGCGCAUUAGCUAGUUGGUGGGGUAAUGGCUCACCAAGGCGACGAUGCGUAGCCGACCUGAGAGGGUGAUCGGCCACACUGGGACUGAGACACGGCCCAGACUCCUACGGGAGGCAGCAGUAGGGAAUCUUCCGCAAUGGACGAAAGUCUGACGGAGCAACGCCGCGUGAGUGAUGAAGGUUUUCGGAUCGUAAAGCUCUGUUGUUAGGGAAGAACAAGUGCGAGAGUAACUGCUCGCACCUUGACGGUACCUAACCAGAAAGCCACGGCUAACUACGUGCCAGCAGCCGCGGUAAUACGUAGGUGGCAAGCGUUGUCCGGAAUUAUUGGGCGUAAAGGGCUCGCAGGCGGUUUCUUAAGUCUGAUGUGAAAGCCCCCGGCUCAACCGGGGAGGGUCAUUGGAAACUGGGAAACUUGAGUGCAGAAGAGGAGAGUGGAAUUCCACGUGUAGCGGUGAAAUGCGUAGAGAUGUGGAGGAACACCAGUGGCGAAGGCGACUCUCUGGUCUGUAACUGACGCUGAGGAGCGAAAGCGUGGGGAGCGAACAGGAUUAGAUACCCUGGUAGUCCACGCCGUAAACGAUGAGUGCUAAGUGUUAGGGGGUUUCCGCCCCUUAGUGCUGCAGCUAACGCAUUAAGCACUCCGCCUGGGGAGUACGGUCGCAAGACUGAAACUCAAAGGAAUUGACGGGGGCCCGCACAAGCGGUGGAGCAUGUGGUUUAAUUCGAAGCAACGCGAAGAACCUUACCAGGUCUUGACAUCCUUUGACAACCCUAGAGAUAGGGCUUUCCCUUCGGGGACAGAGUGACAGGUGGUGCAUGGUUGUCGUCAGCUCGUGUCGUGAGAUGUUGGGUUAAGUCCCGCAACGAGCGCAACCCUUGAUUUUAGUUGCCAGCAUUCAGUUGGGCACUUUAAGGUGACUGCCGGUGACAAACCGGAGGAAGGUGGGGAUGACGUCAAAUCAUCAUGCCCCUUAUGACCUGGGCUACACACGUGCUACAAUGGACAGAACAAAGGGCUGCAAGACCGCAAGGUUUAGCCAAUCCCAUAAAUCUGUUCUCAGUUCGGAUCGCAGUCUGCAACUCGACUGCGUGAAGCUGGAAUCGCUAGUAAUCGCGGAUCAGCAUGCCGCGGUGAAUACGUUCCCGGGCCUUGUACACACCGCCCGUCACACCACGAGAGUUUGCAACACCCGAAGUCGGUGAGGUAACCUUUAUGGAGCCAGCCGCCGAAGGUGGACAGGGGU